AUGGCGCCGUUGCGCGCCCGAGGAACACAUGGUCCUCGCCUGCCGUGCUGUACCAGGCAAUGCCAUGCCCGUGCGUCCACCGCCGCGGGCGGCGCGGCCACGCACCACCGGGGCCGAUCCUAUCCUUUCCCCGAGCGCCGCAGAAAAGCACGCCGUGUCGCCAGGCCCAACCUCCGUACGUCCCGCUCGCGGCCGAUCGACAUGGGAGACAACGACGCUCGUCCACGCAGCCACGCGCCCUCCCGGCGACGGGACACGUCGCCGGCGCGUCGAGCGGCACGCGAGAGACCGAUCGGUCGGUCCAUCGAUCGUCACGCGUCUUUCCGGGAGCUGGGGCUCGAGUCGAGCGCGCCACGCGCCGGCGCCUGA
rnacentral:rRNA from 1 species